rnacentral:rRNA from 1 species
CAUGCAAGUCGAACGGUAGAGUAGCAAUACUCGAGAGUGGCGAACGGGUGAGUAAUAUAUCGGAACGUGCCCAGUCGUGGGGGAUAACGUAAAGAAAUUUACGCUAAUACCGCAUACGAUCUAAGGAUGAAAGCGGGGGACUUCGCAAGAGGCCUCGCGCGAUUGGAGCGGCUGAUAUCAAAUUAGGUUGUUGGUGAGGUAAAAGCUCACCAAGCCGACGAUCUGUAGCUGGUUUGAGAGAACGACCAGCCACACUGGGACUGAGACACGGCCCAAACUCCUACGGGAGGCAGCAGUGGGGAAUUUUGGACAAUGGGCGAAAGCCUGAUCCAGCAAUGCCGCGUGUGGGAAGAAGGCCUUCGGGUUGUAAACCACUUUUGUACGGAACGAAACGGUUCGCCUUAAUACGGCGGGCUAAUGACGGUACCAUAAGAAUAAGCACCGGCUGACUACGUGCCAGCAGCCGCGGUAAUACGCAGGGUGCGAGCGUUAAUCGGAAUUACUGGGCGUAAAGCGUGCGCAGGCGGUUAUAUAAGACAGUUGUGAAAUCCCCGGGCUCAACCUGGGAAUUGCAUCUGUGACUGUAUAGCUAGAGUACGGUAGAGGGGGAUGGGAUUCCGCGUGUAGCAGUGAAAUGCGUAGAUAUGCGGAGGAACACCG